rnacentral:snoRNA from 1 species
UGGUUGUGGUGAGGACAAUCUCGAAGCAUCCCCUUGAACCUCUUCCAAGUUGAAUAAAAAGACUCGCCUGACUUCUAUUUAAAAAUGAUAUCUCACUUCUGAUCUU